UACGAAGGGGGCUAGCGUUGUUCGGAAUCACUGGGCGUAAAGGGCGCGUAGGCGGCUUUAUAAGUCGGGGGUGAAAGCCUGUGGCUCAACCACAGAAUUGCCUUCGAUACUGUAGGGCUUGAGACCGGAAGAGGUUAGUGGAACUGCGAGUGUAGAGGUGAAAUUCGUAGAUAUUCGCAAGAACACCAGUGGCGAAGGCGGCUAACUGGUCCGGUUCUGACGCUGAGGCGCGAAAGCGUGGGGAGCAAACAGG
rnacentral:rRNA from 1 species